GUAACAAGUUUGAUGGAAUUAUCAGACUUGUUACAAGGUUGUUCUAACAAGUCUAAUACAAUCAUGAUAAACAAGAAUGCUACAAGGUUGACAACACAAGGUUGUAACAAUACUGCUAUAUCAUGACUGUAUCAGACUUGUUGGAACAACCUUGUAACAAGCCUGAUAAUAUCAACAAGGUUGUUAC
rnacentral:miRNA from 1 species